rfam:Schistosoma haematobium scaffold614_32, whole genome shotgun sequence.
AUCCAGCUGACGAGUCCCAACUAGGACGAAACACGCGUCCUGGAU